rnacentral:rRNA from 1 species
AUUGAACGCUGGCGGAAUGCUUUACACAUGCAAGUCGAACGGCAGCACGGGGGCAGCCCUGGUGGCGAGUGGCGAACGGGUGAGUAAUACAUCGGAACGUGCCCGGUCGUGUGGGAUAACGUAGCGACAGUUACGCUAAUACCGCAUACGCUCUGACGAUGAAAGCGGGGAACCUUCGGACCUCGCGCGAUCGGAGCGUCCGAUGUCAGAUUAGGUAGUUGGUGGGGUAAAGGCCUACCAAGCCGACGAUCUGUAGCUGGUCUGAGAGGACGACCAGCCACACUGGGACUGAGACACGGCCCAGACUCCUACGGGAGGCAGCAGUGGGGAAUUUUGGACAAUGGGCGCAAGCCUGAUCCAGCCAUUCCGCGUGGAGGACGAAGGCCUUCGGGUUGUAAAGUGCUUUUGUACGGAACGAAAAGGCUCUGGCUAAUACCUGGGGCUCAUGACGGUACCGUAAGAAUAAGCACCGGCUAACUACGUG